GAUGAACGCUGGCGGCGUGCCUAAUACAUGCAAGUCGAGCGAACGGACGAGAAGCUUGCGUCUCUGAUGUUAGCGGCGGACGGGUGAGUAACACGUGGAUAACCUACCUAUAAGACUGGGAUAACUUCGGGAAACCGGAGCUAAUACCGGAUAAUAUUUUGAACCGCAGGGUUCAAAAGUGAAAGACGGUCUUGCUGGCACUUAUAGAUGGAUCCGCGCUGCAUUAGCUAGUUGGUAAGGUAACGGCUUACCAAGGCAACGAUGCGUAGACGAGCUGAGAGGGUGAUCGGCCACACUGGAACUGAGCCACGGUCCAGACUCCUGCGGGACGCAGCAGUAGGGAAUCUUCCGCAAUGGGCGAAAGCCUGACGGAGCAACGCCGCGUGAGUGAUGAAGGUCUUCGGAUCGUAAAACUCUGUUAUUAGGGAAGAACAUAUGUGUAAGUAACUGUGCACAUCUUGACGGUACCUAAUCAGAAAGCCACGGCUAACUACGUG
rnacentral:rRNA from 1 species